rnacentral:lncRNA from 1 species
CUCCCCGCUCCCUCCGGGCUCCGGAUCCCUCCGGCCGCGGCUGCCCCGCCACCGCUGCGCUCCCGCCUUGUGGUCCCGCCGCCCCUCCCCAUCUCACUGGCGGCGGCGGCUGGAACAGGCCCGCCCGCAGCCUCCGACGGGCCCAGUCCUUCCAGGGCUGGAGGGAGUUCAGCUGAAGCGAGGAAAAUCAAGCCUGAAGAUCGUCCCAACCAAUCUGCAGCUUUGAAGACCAGUUCAGUCCAGAUGCCAGAAGGAAGGCAGUUUCCAGAUGUCUAAGGAAAUCUCACCCAGUCUACAGUUGACUACUGCAUUCACAGACCAGACACUUCUGUGGCCUCCAUGACAAGGGAUACAAAUUUGACAAAAUCAGUUUAGAAAUGUUACUAAGCCAACAGAAGAACUUCAGUGAGAGGAGCAGCAGCAGUGAACCCUGGGGAGGGGAAGAACUGGUAUUUGACUUGCUACAUUACACUAAUCACAGUGUCCCUGAUCCAAAAACAGAGAGAUAAGUGGUGGUGACACAGGAAAGGAAUGUAAUUCAGAGCAGCUGACACUAGAAGACUGAGGACUGGCAUGGCUUCAAGGUGUUGAAAACAUUCCUGGGUUUUUAUACGAGGAAAAUCUAGGACAAAGGUCGGUGGGCAGGUGCAGGGGGUCAGUAAAGUUCCAGUCAAUCAUUGUCUUGGGGUCCAUCACGCGGGGUCUUGCUGGUGUCAGGCAGUGGUUAUUGCUUGAGGGGUCGUUUUGGUGCCUGCUGGAUCUUUGACUUGAGUUACCAGAUGAGCCUGAAGGAGGGACA